rnacentral:rRNA from 1 species
AGGACGAACGCUGGCGGCGUGCUUAACACAUGCAAGUCGAGCGGAAAGGCCCUUCGGGGUACUCGAGCGGCGAACGGGUGAGUAACACGUGAGUAAUCUGCCCAUCGCUUCAGGAUAGCCAUCGGAAACGGUGAUUAAUACUGGAUAUGACAUUCCUUCGCAUGUUGGGGUGUGGAAAGUUUUUUCGGCGGUGGAUGUGCUCGCGGCCUAUCAGCUUGUUGGUGGGGUAAUGGCCUACCAAGGCUUUGACGGGUAGCCGGCCUGAGAGGGUGACCGGCCACACUGGGACUGAGACACGGCCCAGACUCCUACGGGAGGCAGCAGUGGGGAAUAUUGGACAAGUGGGCGGAAGCCUGAUCCAGCAACGCCGCGUGAGGAUGACGGCCUUCGGGUUGUAAACCUCUUUCAGCACAGACGAAGUUUUGUCGUUUUUUGGUGUAAGUGACGGUAUGUGCGAGAAGAACGGACCGACGAACUACGCG